rnacentral:ncRNA from 1 species
CCAACCAAAGGGUUCUCCAACACUAGUGGUUCUUUAUAUUUCACAAUUAUCUCUGCAUGGAUGUUGCUUCGUUGAGCCACGUCACGGAAUCAAGAGCUCCAAGUGGGCCAUUUUUGGUAAGCAGAACUAGCGAUGCGGGAUGAACCGGAAGCCGGAUUACGGUCCCAAACUGCGCACUAACCUAGAUCCCACAAGGGGUGUUGGUUGAUUAAGACAGCAGGAUGGUGGUCAUGGAAGUCGAAAUCCGCUAACGAGUGUGUAACAACUCACCUGCUGAAUCAACUAGCCCCGAAAAUGGAUGGCGCUUAAGCGCGCGACUUACACUUGGCCGUCGGGGCAAGUGCCAGGCCCCGAUGAGUAGGAGGGCGAGGUGGUCGCUGCAAAACCUUGGGCGCGAGCGGCCAUACAAGCCUCUUAAG